UACGGAGGGUGCAAGCGUUAUCCGGAUUCACUGGGUUUAAAGCGCGCGCAGGCGGUUCUUAAAGUCAGUGGUGAAAGCCCGGAGCUCAACUCCGGAACUGCCAUUGAAACUGUAGAACUUGAGGAUGAGAGAGGUGAGUGGAAUUCCCAGUGUAGAGGUGAAAUUCGUAGAUAUUAGGAAGAACACCGGUGGCGAAGGCGGCUCACUGGCUCAUUUCUGACGCUCAGGCGCGACAGCGUGGGGAUCAAACAGG
rnacentral:rRNA from 1 species